rnacentral:rRNA from 1 species
AUUGAACGCUGGCGGCAGGCCUAACACAUGCAAGUCGAACGAGUGGCGGACGGGUGAGUAAUGUCUGGGAAACUGCCUGAUGGAGGGGGAUAACUACUGGAAACGGUAGCUAAUACCGCAUACCAUCAGAUGUGCCCAGAUGGGAUUAGCUAGUUGGUUGGGUAACGGCUCACCAAGGCGACGAACCCUAGCUGGUCUGAUAGGAUGACCAGCACAAUUGGAAAUGUAGCACGGGCCAGAAUCCUACGGGUGGGAGCAUUUGGGGAUGUUGCACAAUGGGCGCAAGCCUGAUUGAUCCAUGCCGCGGUUAUGAAGAAGGCCUUCGGGUUGGAAAGUACUUUCAGCGGGGAGGCGUUACCCGCAGAAGAAGCACCGGCUAACUCCGUGACAGCAGCCGCGGUAAUAC